UACGGAGGGAGCAAGCGUUACUCGGAAUUAUUGGGCGUAAAGGGCGCGUAGGCUAUUUGACAAGUCUCGUGUGAAAGCCCAGGGCUUAACUCUGGAAGUGCAUGAGAAACUGUUAGAUUUGAGUUCCGGAGAGGAAGGCAGAAUUCCCGGUGUAGCGGUGAAAUGCGUAGAUAUCGGGAGGAAUACCAGUGGCGAAGGCGGCCUUCUGGACGGAUACUGACGCUGAGGCGCGAAAGCCAGGGGAGCAAACGGG
rnacentral:rRNA from 1 species